rnacentral:rRNA from 1 species
UACGUAGGGGGCUAGCGUUGUCCGGAAUCAUUGGGCGUAAAGAGCGUGUAGGCGGCCCGGUAAGUCCGCUGUAAAAGUCAAAGGCUCAACCUUUGAAUGUCAGUGGAUACUGCCGGGCUAGAGUCCGGAAGAGGCGAGUGGAACUCCUGGUGUAGCGGUGGAAUGCGCAGAUAUCAGGAAGAACACCGAUGGCGAAGGCAGCUCUCUGGGACGGUACUGACGCUGAGACGCGAAAGCGUGGGGAGCGAACAGG